UUGUAUAGGCAAGGAGAAGAUAGCGUUGAAAGAGACGGGAUAAUGGGAUUUGAAGAGUUUAAACUUUUAAAACUUAUUUUGUUGUUUAGGUUGAUAAUAAUUUUACGAAAAGGGUAAUGAUAGGAAGAUUAAAUUUAUAAACUAAAUUAUGUGGUUGUUGAUGAUUGGAUUAUUACUUAAGUAUUGAUUAAUUCAUAUAUGUGACACAUUAUUUAGUUUGUAAUUUAAUUUAAAAUUUUAUUCUACGUAGCAUGUCAAAGUUUUAUUAUAAAAUUAAUAUGAAGUGCAGGCACUCAACAUACAUGAUCUUUUUUCGAGUUCUUGACAUGAGAUUUAGGAUAAAAUUAGGAAAACCAAAUUCUUAAACUAAAUUUGCAAACCAAAUGACAUGUCAUCAAUAAGAGAAAAAAACACAUUAAUCGAUACUUAAUCAAUAAUCU
rnacentral:lncRNA from 1 species